rnacentral:rRNA from 1 species
GACGAACGCUGGCGGCGUGCUUAACACAUGCAAGUCGAACGAAGAGCGAUGGAAGCUUGCUUCUAUCAAUCUUAGUGGCGAACGGGUGAGUAACGCGUAAUCAACCUGCCCUUCAGAGGGGGACAACAGCGGGAAACGACUGCUCAUACCGCAUACGAUCUAACCUCGGCAUCGAGGAAAGAUGAAAGGUGGCCUCUAUGUAUAAGCUAUCACUGUAGGAGGGGAUUGCGUCUGAUUAGCUAGUUGGAGGGGUAACGGCCCACCAAGGCGAUGAUCAGUAGCCUGUCUGAGAGGAUGAACGGCCACAUUGGGACUGAGACACGGCCCAGACUCCUACGGGAGGCAGCAGUGGGGAAACUUCCGCAAUGGACGAAAGUCUGACGGAGCAACGCCGCGGGAGUGAUGACGGCCUUCGGGUUGUAAAGCUCUGUUAAUCGGGACGAAAGGCCUUCUUGCGAAUAGUGAGAAGGAUUGACGGUACCGGAAUAGAAAGCCACGGCUAACUACGUG